rnacentral:misc_RNA from 1 species
GAGCGGGCUUGUCCCGCGUUGGAGUGCGUAGCGCUCCCAGCUUUUUUGGGGCUGCUUCGCAACCCAACGCGGGACAAGCCCGCUC